GAUGAACGCUGGCGGCGUGCUUAACACAUGCAAGUCGAACGGAAAGGCCCAAGCUUGCUUGGGUGCUCGAGUGGCGAACGGGUGAGUAACACGUGGGUGAUCUGCCCUGCACUUUGGGAUAAGCCUGGGAAACUGGGUCUAAUACCGGAUAGGACCAUCGUUUAGUGUCGGUGGUGGAAAGUUUUUCGGUGUGGGAUGAGCUCGCGGCCUAUCAGCUUGUUGGUGGGGUAAUGGCCUACCAAGGCGUCGACGGGUAGCCGGCCUGUGAGGGUGUACGGCCACAUUGGGACUGAGAGAAGGCCCAGACUCCUACGGGAGGAAGCAGUGGGGAAGAUUGCACAAUGGGCGCAAGCCGGAUGCAGCGACGCCGCGGGGGGGAUGACGGCCUUCGGGUUGUAAACUCCUUUCGCCAAGGACGAAGCGUUUUGUGACGGUACUUGGAGAAGAAGCACCGGCUAACUACGUG
rnacentral:rRNA from 1 species